rnacentral:tRNA from 1 species
GGUUCAGUAGCUUUAAUGGUAGAGCAGCGGAUUUGUAACCCGCAGGUUAUCGGUUCGAAUCCGGUCUGAACCUCCA